AGCAGUAGGGAAUCUUCCACAAUGGGCGCAAGCCUGAUGGAGCAACACCGCGUGAGUGAAGAAGGGUUUCGGCUCGUAAAGCUCUGUUGUUGGAGAAGAACGUGCGUGAGAGUAACUGUUCACGCAGUGACGGUAUCCAACCAGAAAGUCACGGCUAACUACGUGCCAGCAGCCGCGGUAAUACGUAGGUGGCAAGCGUUAUCCGGAUUUAUUGGGCGUAAAGCGAGCGCAGGCGGUUGCUUAGGUCUGAUGUGAAAGCCUUCGGCUUAACCGAAGAAGUGCAUCGGAAACCGGGCGACUUGAGUGCAGAAGAGGACAGUGGAACUCCAUGUGUAGCGGUG
rnacentral:rRNA from 1 species